rnacentral:rRNA from 1 species
CGGUGAAUACGUUCCCGGACCUUGUACACACCGCCCGUCAAGCCAUGGAAGCUGGGUGUACCUAAAGUCGAUAACCGCAAGGAGUCGCCUAGGGUAAAACUAGUAACUGGGGGCU